AUUGAACGCUGGCGGCAGGCCUAACACAUGCAAGUCGAACGAGUGGCGGACGGGUGAGUAAUGUCUGGGAAACUGCCCGAUGGAGGGGGAUAACUACUGGAAACGGUAGCUAAUACCGCAUACCAUCGGAUGUGCCCAGCUGGGAUUAGCUAGUAGGUGGGGUAAUGGCUCACCUAGGCGACGAUCCCUAGCUGGUCUGAGAGGAUGACCAGCCAAACUGGAACUGAGACACGGGCCAGACUCCUAAGGGAGGCAAGAGUGGGGAAUAUUGGAAAAUGGGCGGAAGCCUGAGGGAGCCAUUGCGGGUGUAUGAAGAAGGCCUUGGGGUUGUAAAGUACUUUCAGCGAGGAGGCGUUACUCGCAGAAGAAGCACCGGCUAACUCCGUGCCAGCCGCCGCGGUAAUUC
rnacentral:rRNA from 1 species